UGGGGCCCCCGGGCACUCUUACUGCUGACGCCUUUCGUCAGCCUCGCCCGUGUUGAAGGUCAGAGUCGCCUGGCCGCGACCUGCUCACGGCGCUCAGCCCGGGCAGAGCGUAUGUGGACAGACUCUGCGUCAGCCGGUGACGCUGGGAGCUUUUCUGUCCGAGGUUUUACGCGGGGGCUUUGGUUAGAGGGUGGGUGUGUGAGCACGUGGAAGUGGUUCUACUGGGAACUGAGAGUCUGAACAAAGUAGCAAGGCUGCCCGGACGGUGUGAGGGAGAAGGGAGGCCGGGGACGAGGCGUCCUGCGUCACGGACGCUCCUGGUACGGGGAGAAUGGCGGCCUGGCUUGCGGGGCAUCUCUUACCGGUCGGCAGCAAAGAGGGCUCCACCUUCAGUGGACGGAGGGCCAGCCAGACGAGCUCGGCGCGGCUUCUCCACUCGGUCCACCCUCUCUUCUCCGAGCUGACCUGGAAGGCGUGGUAAUGCUCCCUUCUCCAGUCACCUCUGGCUCCCAACAUUCUACACAUCUCAAAGUAAAUAAAUAAAUAAAUAAAGCCAAGGUAAAAACUUUCACCCCACGAUCCUUCAGCUCCACCCGAGUCCCCGAGCAUCCUCAUCUGUGUGUGCCCAUCACAGCUCCGGCGCAUUUUCCCUCGGGCGCAUGCAGGCCUCCCGGCACCGCGGGCCCUCGUUGGACUUCCUGCGAGAGAGGGGCCGACCAGGCUGCGGGCCGGGCGCCCUGAGCUCCUCCACCCACACCCCGUCCAUGGCACCCUUCACCAUCUCGCCUCAAACGGUCCUGUGUCACGUGGCCAUUUCAUCACUGUUCAUGGGAGGGGUGGUUUGGGGAAAGGCCGCAGUGACUAACACGGUAUUUGUAUUGUUUGUAGAGACUUUCCCAUCCUCUGGGUGGCAUUCCGGCUGUGAGGAGCUGCUGUGGCAGAAGACGGACCCAGAGGAAGGAGGCAGAUGUGCUGUCUCCCUGAGAGGCACUGUCUGAGGACCCGAGGAGGGGGCUCCGGCCCCAGGAGCGCCGCUCACCACCUCCGCAGCCCCCACCGGGGGGCUGACCCCCUCGCUGCCUGGUGAUUGCCCUUGUGACCGACGGCUCGGUGGUCCUCGCCUGGUAUUAAACAUGUUUUGAGAAGAACA